rnacentral:rRNA from 1 species
CCUACGGGUGGCAGCAGUGGGGAAUAUUGGACAAUGGGCGCAAGCCUGAUCCAGCAAUGCCGCGUGUGUGAAGAAGGCCUGCGGGUUGUAAAGCACUUUAAGCAGGAAAGAAGGGGUGAAAGUUAAUACCUUUCAUCAUUGACGUUACCUGCAGAAUAAGCACCGGCUAACUCCGUGCCAGCAGCCGCGGUAAUACGGGGGGUGCGAGCGUUAAUCGGAAUUCGCGGGCGUGAUGCGAUCGGUCGCGGUUGAAAGCCCUGGGCUUAACCUGGGAACUGCGGUGGAGACUGUCGGGCUAGAGUGUGGUAGAGGGGAGUGGAAUUUCCGGUGUAGCAGUGAAAUGCGUAGAGAUCGGAAGGAACACCAGUGGCGAAGGCGGCUCCCUGGACUAACACUGACGCUGAGGUGCGAAAGCGUGGGGAGCAAACAGGAUUAGAUACCCUUGUAGUC